rnacentral:rRNA from 1 species
GGCAGCAGUAAGGAAUAUUGCACAAUGGGGGAAACCCUGAUGCAGCAACGCCGCGUGAGUGAAGAAGGCCUUCGGGUCGUAAAACUCUUUUCUGGGGGAUGAGGAAGGACAGUACCUCAGGAAUAAGUCUCGGCUAACUACGUGCCAGCAGCCGCGGUAAAACGUAGGAGGCGAGCGUUAUCCGGAUUCAUUGGGCGUAAAGGGCAAGUAGGCGGUAGUCAAAGUUGGACGUGACAGGUCCCGGCUUAACUGGGAAGGGCCGUACAAAACUAGAUUACUAGAGGACAGGAGAGGGAGGCGGAACUCCUAGUGUAGCGGUGGAAUGCUCAGAUACUAGGAAGAACACCAGUGGCGAAGGCGGCCUCCUGGCCUGCACCUGACGCUGAGAGGCGAAAGCUAGGGUAGCAAACGGGCUUAGAUACCCCGGUAGUCCUAGCUGUAAACGGUGGAUACUAGGUAUUGGGGGCGAUAUGUUCUCAGUGCCGAAGCUAACGCGUUAAGUAUCCCGCCUGGGGACUACGGCCGCAAGGUUAAAACUCAAAGGAAUUGACGG